rnacentral:misc_RNA from 1 species
CCACCUCUAACUAAGUAUAUAAGUACAGAGAUUAGUGCAAAAUUGUUGUUGUUAGAUUAGUUUUUGGUCAUUGGGAGCCAGCAAAUGCACUCUAUUGGCACUACAUGUUAAAGGAUAUUGGCUGCUAGCGGAUCCGGAUCAAAUUGUCCAGGCAGCAGGAAGCGGGGCGUACCAGCGGUCGUCGAGAAUCUGGAUUGGCUAAGGUUUAAUGGAUGACACAUCACCAUGGGAAAGCUACUAUCAAAAAUUUUCGGCAACAAAGAAAUGCGAAUUCUUAUGCUCGGACUGGACGCGGCUGGCAAAACAACGAUUCUGUACAAACUGAAACUAGGGCAAUCAGUUACAACGAUACCCACUGUGGGCUUUAACGUGGAAACCGUCACCUACAAGAACGUCAAGUUCAACGUUUGGGAUGUCGGUGGACAGGAUAAGAUACGACCGCUCUGGCGACACUACUAUACGGGAACACAGGGUCUUAUAUUCGUAGUGGACUGUGCGGAUCGGGAUCGAGUGGAUGAGGCGCGCACGGAGCUGCAUAGGAUAAUUAACGAUAGGGAGAUGCGUGACGCCAUCAUUCUGAUAUUUGCUAAUAAACAGGAUCUGCCUAAUGCAAUGAAACCCCAUGAAGUCCAGGAAAAACUAGGUUUAACUAGAAUAAGAGAUCGCAAUUGGUAUGUACAACCGUCAUGUGCCACAUCCGGCGAUGGCCUGGCCGAGGGCCUGAUUUGGUUAACGUCGAACCAUAAGUUAUGAGAGUCGUAAUUGAGCAUUUUCUUAUAUGUAUAUGUAUAUGGCAUGUAUUAUUCGAAGCGAAGCAAAAGCAAAAUAUUCUAUUUUAUUUAUACGAAGAAAGAAAAACAAACAAGUGAGAGAAAAACCGAAAUACAUCAACAACCAAAAGCGCAUAGUAAAGAAGCCCAAUUCGUAAUUACGAACGUACAUAACUUAACGAAAAAAAAAAAAUGUUAAAAAAUGUAAAAAUACACAUAACAAAUAAACGAAGCAUCAACAAUAUAAGCAAACAAAUAAAUAUGCGUAAAAUACAAAAAUUAUGCGUGAAGCACAGAGAUAUAAUGCAAAAAGCGAAAACAUCAACGGAGAUUAGUGUUAACAACAAUGCAAUCCUGAAAUGGAAGGAUUCUGGAUUCUGCGAGUCAACCGUUAACCUUCGGAUUAUCUCUGACCACGACAGCCGGCCGGCCUGACUUCCGUGUCAGAUAAAUUGGUUCCGUUUUGUGCGCUCAAUUCGAUAAGUAAACAUGCCACAUUCAGAGCCAGGACUACCCUCACCAGCAGGCCUGAACAUUUUACCUGAAUAUGAAUGGUUAAACAGGGCGUGCCAUAAUCAGCCUUUGUUUUUAAAGACUUGUAUGAGAAGCAAUGGACCGCAGUCGAUUUGGCAUUAAAGUAUAAAUUUAUGUCUCAA